UACUAGAGUAGCACUCGCAUAUCAAUAAGCGGAGGAAAAGAAACUAACAAGGAUUCCCCUAGUAACGGCGAGUGAAGCGGGAAGAGCUCAAAUUUGAAAUCUUAAAGGGUUUCCCUUUACGAAUUGUAGUUUAAAGAAGUGUUUUCUGUUGAGGUUUUGGUAAAAGUUCUUUGGAAUAGGACAUCAUAGGAGGGUGAGAAUCCCGUAUUUGACCUUUACUUUCAACUUUGUGAUACACUUUCAAAGAGUCGGAUUGUUUGGGAAUGCAGUCCAAAAUGGGUGGUAAAUUUCAUCUAAAGCUAAAUAUUGGCGAGAGACCGAUAGCGAACAAGUACCGUGAGGGAAAGAUGAAAAGAACUUUGAAAAGAGAGUUAAACAGUACGUGAAAUUGUCAAAAGGGAAGCGUUUGGACACCAGUGUUGUUUUUCUGAAAAUCAAUUAAAGAACUGUUUAUGCUAAGCUGUUUAGACUUUAUCAGCUAUCUGUUUAGUUUUGAGCUUUUCUUUAAUGCACUUUUCAGUUAACAAGUCAACAUCAAUUUCUUUUGCUGUAAAAAAGCUUGAGGAAGGUGGCUUGAGAUUCGUCUUAAGUGUUUAUAGCCUCUUGCCUAUGCAGUCGGAGAGAUUGAGGUCUGCAGCGUAGAUCCUUCGGGGCUAAAUGCAUUUGUGCUAAGUUAUAGCAUUUUAUAGACAACUUGUUGACUAUGAUUUGUCUUGUAGCUUACUCGCUUAUGUUAUUUUACCUACGCUUAGGAUGUUGAGCGCAUGUCUCUCUCU
rnacentral:rRNA from 1 species